AUAGUAGAUGCUAAAUAACUCUUGUGUGGUGUAUGUAAUGUGUGUGUGUGUGUAUGUAUGUAUGUGUAUAAAGUAUAUAUAUGUACUUUAUAAGUCCAUAUAUAGUUUAGUUUGGGUUAACAAUUGAGAAAAUCAAUUAAGAAAUUAUGGUCUGUGACUGUCCCCUAAAGAGUUAGUUUGUGGAUUGAGAAUUGCAAUGGACCCAAAGAUAAACUGGUCCAGUGGUAUUAAGACCUCUUUAACUAGGAUCAGUGCUCCUGGGUACUUUCUCUGUGUAGGUAAUGAUUCUUCUCAUCAUUGCUGGGUAACUUUCCUGUCAUAUUUUUUCCUCCCUUUCUCCCUCCCUCCUUCCCUCCCUCCCUCCCUUUCUCUUUUUUUUUUUUUUCAUGACAGUUUGCUCUGUGUAGCCCUGGCCAUCCUGGAACUACCUUAGUAGACCAGGCUGGCGUCUAACUCAGAGAUCUGCCUGCUUCUACCUCUUGAGUGCUUGGGUUAAAGGUGUGCACCACCAUACCUGGCUCUUCGGUCAUAUUUCAUAAGAUGAUAUAUGGUAGAAGAAGGAAAGACAGUUUCUUCCUAUGCAGUUGCUGCAUUUGUUGUCUCCCCUGUCCUCCUCCCAUCCCAGGUCUUCCAUUUUUCCUGCCACUCAGGAAAACAGUUUUAACAAAUAUUCUGUUAUUUGCAUGUUAUCUCGUUGGACAAAUUUGUUUCACAUGCCCAUUCUUGACCUGUUGCAAUAAUGGCUGAGAAUGUGAUCCUCUUAGAUUGGGUCCUCACCAAAAAACGAGAAAUGAAUGCAGUGGCAGUGGUUUCACUACGUAACUAUUUGCCCUGAUUGCUGCUGGGCUGGAUGGGUGACAGGGAUCCACUUGCAAUGUACAGUUACUGAUUCUUAUGAAAGUCCUAAUGUAUUGGGGUUAGAAUACCAGGGACGUUUCUGGAAUUCUAGUUACCUUGAACAGGUUGUGAAUCAUGGAUUCCAUAUAAACUAUCUGUUUCUUUAACUCUUUUUGAGUUUGGUAUCUUAAGCUAGGAGGGUACAUAGUGACCAGUAAGCCAGUGGACUCUUAGGAAUUUCCUUUUAGUAGUAUAGGAGUGGUUAAAAUUUUUGUCACUUCUGGACCUUUGAUGGUUUACGGAUGUGUCAAUCUAAGAGCCCUUUAGGCAAGUUUGUUUUUCUCACUUCCUUUUUACUUCUUAGGUGAGAGGUUAGUGAAGUGGCUGGACAGAAAGUCAGGAAAGACAAAUAAGUAGACAGAUCCCUGUCUGAAUCAUUUCCCCUUCAUUAACAGAGGGUCGGCAGUUCAGUCUUAAAGGAUGAAUUGUGAGGGAGUAUUUUACCUGAGGAGGCCUGUGAUAGCAAGUUGGUUUUCUCCUGUGUAAAUCCUUGAAAUACCCAUUAGAGGCCCGCAGUUGUCAAUCUUCAGGAUGACUUGAUGCAUCAACAGCUGUGUGGUUUCAGCUAAUGGAGCUAAUGUAUUGUUCUACGGCUACAGACUGACUGCCAUAGGUCGGGUAGGACUAUUAUAUGCACUAAUAGCUGAUAUUUUGUUUUUCUUCAGUAUAUUGUUUGGGCAUGCUUUAUUUUAAUGUUCAUUCGAUCUCUUUUUUGGUGUUCAUGUAUGAAUCUCAUUACCCAAAUGUAUUUUGUUUUGUGAGUUUUGAAAUAAGGAAAUCAAAAGGAAAUGCUGUAUUUGGUAUUAUGAAAAAAUACAACUAUGUCUGUGGUCCCAAGGAACCAAUUGGAGUAUGUGUGUUCUUUGGAUUAUAUUUUAGUGAUAAUUGUUUUUCCUCUCUGGUGGCUAGAUGGGGGCAGUCAGCCAAAACUCUUGCUAUGUUUUGAAUUUUGAACUGUGUGAAUGUUACCUACAAUCCAAAUUAAAAUUGAGUGACCUAGUACUAUAGAUAAAUGUUUUACUGCAAAUAUAUUAAACAUAAUGUGCCUUACAUGUCUGUAGCAUUUAUUGCUGAAAUUCAACUUUUGUCAUCUAAUUAGUAUUAGUGAAGUUAUUCUUCCUUUCUAGUGAACUAACUCCUGUCCUUUCUUCCAUCUGUCCUUCCUUUCUUGAUCCAACUGACCUUGAAUUUGUGGCAAUUGUGAGCUUGCCUCUCAAUUGUGGGGAUUUCAGUGUGUGCCACCAUGCUGGGCUAAUGGAUAUUAUUUACUUAAUUCAUUAAAAGUUUAAAUUAUAUUUCCGUAUUUAUUUUUUCCAUUCUUUGUGGGUGAUAUGCAUGUGUAUGUGUUUUGCAUGUAUAUGAUUUCAUGUGUAUUUAAUGUGAGUUUGAGGAUGCAUGUACAUGCACAUGUGUGAGCAUGCUUGUGGAGGCCCAUUGUUCAUGAUGGGAAGCAUCCUUGAUUGCUCUGCCUUAUUCUUUGAGGCAGAGUUUCUCAGUCAAAUCAGAGCUGGCUGACGUGGCUUGUCCUGCUCUAGGCUGAUGCAGCCAGCAUGCUCUAGGGAUUCCUUCUCUCUGCCUUAUGGGUCUAGAUUUCCAGGUGUUCUGUUCUGUUUAUGUGGUUUUCUGGAGAUCUGAACGUGAGCACUUUAACUGCUGAACCAUCUUCCAAGCCCCCAUGUUUAUUUAUUUAAGCAUCUAUUUAUUUAAUUUGUGUAUGUGUGUGUGCUCAGGAGCAAACACAUGAUGGUAUACAUAUAGAGGUCAGAUGACAACUCAUGGGAGUCAGUUUUUCCUCUUAACCAUGUGGAACUAGGGAAUGCCAACUCUGGUUGUCAAGCAUGGCUGCAAGUGAUCUUACCUACUAGUUUAUCUUGCUGGCCCCAAACUAAUUUUUUGAUGAAAAAUAAAUUAGAGCCAUUUGUAUUGGUACAUAUCUGUAAUCCUAAUACUCAGGCUGAGGCAGAAUUGUUGAUUUGAGGCUAGCUUUUGAUAUUUGUGAAAUCUUGCCUCAAAAAGAAGAAUGUACUAUAGUUUUCUUUGGAGGAUAAGACUGGGACUUGACUAAGAAGUACCAUGGGGGGUGGGGGCACUGAUGGACUGUCACCAUCCUAUAUCUACUGAUGUUUAGGUUCUAUAGCUAUGAUAAUCACAAGUAUAAUAAUUUAUACACAAUAUUGGUAUACUUAGUUGUAUGUAGCUUAUCAUAAUAGGCUAAAAAAAUCAUUGGACUGCAGUGUUUUAGGAAAGACUUAGGAGCAAGUGUUUUAGUGUGUAUAGUUUGCACUAAUUUGUUAUAAACAGUUUGCACCAAAUAUAUAAUGUAUGCAUGAAUGGUAAGAGAGAUACAGAUAUAUGUUAAAGCAAAUAUUAUGAAAUGUUACAGCAGAACUUAGGUAGUGGCUAUAUAGAUGUGAGCUCAAAGUUAUUUUGUGUUUGAAAAAUUUCACAGUUAACUAUUGAGACUUUCCUCUAACCAUCCUGCUUGUGUUUGGGAACUAAAGUGACACAAAACCACCUGUAAAACAUUAAAGUUAACUAGUUCUGAAAAUUACUAAAUAUGCAACAACAGCGAAUGCUAUAUGUAACAAGGGGAGUAGGGCUAGAUGCAGCUCACUUAUACAACAUGUACCUAAUAUGUAUGAGACCCUGAGUUCACAUCCUGGUGUAGUUCUUACUGUUUAAGACAGUUUCUUGCUCUUUAAAAUUUGUUUGUUUGUUUUAGGCUUUUGGUUUUUGAUUUUUUUUCAAGACAGAGUUUCUCUGUGUAACAGCUCUAGCUAUCCUGGAACUCACUCUGUAGACCACGUUGCCUUGAACUCAUAGAGAUCCACCUGCCUCUGCCUUCCCAGGGCUGGGAUCUAAGGUAUGCAUGCACCACCAUGCCUGGUCUGAUCUCUUCUUGCUUUAUAGCCGAGGCAGCCUUGAAUUCACCGUAACCCAUGCUGACCUCAAACUCAUUAUCUCUCUACUAUUUCUGCUUCUUGAGAUCUGGGAUUACAAGUGUGCACCAUUAUCUGGCUUAAUGAAUUUGUC
rnacentral:lncRNA from 1 species